rnacentral:rRNA from 1 species
AUUGAACGCUGGCGGCAUGCCUUACACAUGCAAGUCGAACGGUAACAGGUCUUCGGAUGCUGACGAGUGGCGAACGGGUGAGUAAUACAUCGGAACGUGCCCGAGAGUGGGGGAUAACGAGGCGAAAGCUUUGCUAAUACCGCAUACGAUCUCAGGAUGAAAGCGGGGGACCGUAAGGCCUCGCGCGAUUUGAGCGGCCGAUGUCAGAUUAGGUAGUUGGUGGGGUAAAGGCUCACCAAGCCAACGAUCUGUAGCUGGUCUGAGAGGACGACCAGCCACACUGGGACUGGGACACGGCCCAGACUCCUACGGGAGGCAGCAGUGGGGAAUUUUGGACAAUGGGCGCAAGCCUGAUCCAGCAAUGCCGCGUGCAGGAAGAAGGCCUUCGGGUUGUAAACUGCUUUUGUACGGAACGAAACGGUCCUGGUUAAUACCUGGGGCUAAUGACGGUACCGUAAGAAUAAGCACCGGCUAACUACGUGCCAGCAGCCGCCGUAACAC